rnacentral:misc_RNA from 1 species
UUGAUUUAUUCAAAUAUGACUCGGACGCACAGAUGCAGUGUUUGACGGUCCAUCGGGGGCCCCGGGGCACUCGUUGGAGCGCCGGGUCACCCCCGAGGCAACAGGGUCGGUAUACAAAGGGUUGGAGGUCGGACCCGGAGGCCCUCACUCGGUAAUGAUCCCUCCGCAGGUUCACCUACGGAGA